CCUACGGGUGGCAGCAGUGAGGAAUAUUGCGCAAUGGAGGAAACUCUGACGCAGCAACGCCGCGUGAGUGAAGAAGGCCCUCGGGUUGUAAAGCUCUGUCAGGUGGGAAGAAACCUCCUUGAGUUAAUGGCUCAGGGAAUUGACGGUACCACCAAAGGAAGCACCGGCUAACUCCGUGCCAGCAGCCGCGGUAAGACGGAGGGUGCAAGCGUUGUUCGGAAUCACUGGGCGUAAAGCGCGUGUAGGCGGUUCGAUUAGUCGAGUGGGAAAGCCCGAGGCUCAACUUCGGAAGCGCAUUCGAAACUGUCGGGCUUGAGUACGGGAGAGGGAAGUGGAAUUCCUGGUGUAGAGGUGAAAUUCGUAGAUAUCAGGAGGAACACCGGUGGCGAAGGCGGCUUCCUGGACCGAUACUGACGCUGAGACGCGAAAGCGUGGGGAGCAAACAGGAUUAGAUACCCCAGUAGUCC
rnacentral:rRNA from 1 species